GGACCCGCACAAGUAGUGGAGCAUGUGGUUUAAUUCGAAGAUACGCGCAGAACCUUACCAACACUUGACAUGUUCGUCGCGACUUUAAGAGAUUAAAGUUUUCGGUUCGGCCGGACGAAACACAGGUGCUGCAUGGCUGUCGUCAGCUCGUGUCGUGAGAUGUUGGGUUAAGUCCCGCAACGAGCGCAACCCUCACUUUUAGUUGCCAUCAUUAAGUUGGGCACUCUGAAAGAACUGCCAGUGAUAAGCUGGAGGAAGGUGGGGAUGACGUCAAGUCCUCAUGGCCCUUACGUGUUGGGCUACACACGUGCUACAAUGGUAUCUACAACAGGAAGCAAAACAGCGAUGUUAAGCAAAUCCUUAAAAGAUACCUCAGUUCGGAUUGCACUCUGCAACUCGAGUGCAUGAAGCUGGAAUUACUAGUAAUCG
rnacentral:rRNA from 1 species